GACGAACGCUGGCGGCGUGCCUAAUACAUGCAAGUAGAACGCAGUUGCGAACGGGUGAGUAACGCGUAGGUAACUGCCUCAUAGCGGGGGAUAACUAUUGGAAACGAUAGCAAAUACCGCUUACUGUGAGAUGGACCUGCGUUGUAUUAGCUAGUUGGUGAGGUAAAGGCUCACCAAGGCGACGAUACAUAGCCGACCUGAGGGGGUGAUCGGUCACACUGGGACUGAGGCACGGCACAGACUCCUACUGGGGGCAGCCGUAGGGAAGCUUCGGCAAUGGACGGAAGGCUGAACGAGCAACGCCGGGGGAGUGAAGGAAGGUUUCGGGUCGUAAAGCUCUGUUGUUAGAGAAGCGGUAACUAAAGAGGAAGGGACGGCUAACUACGUGCCAGCAGCCGCGGUAAUUC
rnacentral:rRNA from 1 species